ensembl:lncRNA
AAGAGCCAAACACUUGAGAGUUCCUAGCAGGCAGUGGCUCCUCCUUAGCCCUUCCUCUGAUAGUGACAAACUCGAGACCUCCCUGCUCUUACUAGUUGAGGUCCCUUUGUUUCAAGCAACCUGUGGCCUGGCUUCUCUGACCAGGUCUUGGAGAUGAUAGUUCUACUUGCUUGCCUUCUGUCCUGAUCUUGAAGCUUUCUAAAACUCCCUCUAGGAACAAGCUAUAGAGUAGGUGUGCUACUGGAAAAGCCUGGGCGGAUGUGAGCUUACAUCUGGCAAAACCUAAACGGAGUUGGGAGACCCGCGUGUUUCUCUUCCAACUGAAAACAUCAACGUGGGUUGAAUUGGGACAGCAGGUGGUAGUUAGGGCCUCAGCCAUUGGAGAUGAGGAUUUUUUCUUAGAUUGUACUAUUCAACUCCCAGGGGAGUGCCCAAGUAGGAAUUGGACUGACUGGAGUUUCUCUAACAGAAUCAUAACUACAUAGCUCCUGGAAGCUCCCUGCUGGCCUAGGUUUGGGAUACCACACCUGCAGUCUCGCCUCCCCUGAGAGGGCGAGUAGCUUGUAGAGCUCACACCACAGCUGUGAUGACUGCUACACCCACAGUGUCAUGGUGUUGAGCCUGGCCUGUCUGGAAAGGCCCAGUAUUAAACCAGACUCAGACUGAAUGCUCUGGAAGAAGUGAAGCCUAAGUGCAUGCAAGAGGAACUGGAGGGAAUUGGCAGGCAAAUGAUCACACGGUGUGGUGGUCUGAGAAGUAGGAAAACCAGAGGCCUAGAGGUGGCUCAACCUGCUGACCUGGGGAAAGUGAGUGGAAAGGUGAUGACCCUACUUGAAAAUCAGGCAAGGCUAUUUGUUGUGGAGUUGGCUCAGCUGAGCCAGCUCUGGGCCGAACUUGAUGAGGGCUUAAACAGAAACUCCUAAGGUGUCGAUGUCACGUGCCGCUUCUAGGUGCUUCAGGAGCUGUUGCUUUUGUUUGCCUUGGAGGUGGGAUGGACUGGCAGGAGCUGAUCUGCAGUAUCAGUGACUUCUAGCUGGAGCCUCAACCUCGGAUUCUCUGUGUGGGGAAAUGCCUUUGUGGUGAUGUGGUAUGACAGAAUAUUGGGCUUGAGCUCAUCUGAGUUCAGUCCCUAGCUCUGUCACUUACUAGCUCUGAGAACUUGGACAAGUUGUUACAAAAGUGGCUUAAACUGGGGUUUUGUGACUAGAUAAGACUUAGUUAUAGACCAGUGCCUAUCACAGCAGGUGUUCAGUAAGAGUUGCUGGCUGGUAGAGUACCCCGCCCUCUCCCAACAGCUCACGUGGUUCUGUCAUGGGUGUCUUACUUAAUACCUAUGCUCCUCAGCGUGGAACUUCUGUUCAGCCGCAGACCCUGCAGCUGGGAUUGUAUGCACCUGUUGAGCAAGUGCUUCAAAUGACAUACCUUAAGGCACGGAUGAAAGCUGCUUGUUAAUUGCUCAAGGUCUAAAGCAUGGUUCACGAUGGAUUUCACAAGAUCAGAGGUAGGCCAUCCUGGAAGGGUUCCCUUAACUGUGUUAGCUGCCUAAUGAAAGUAAAACCAGAGAUGAAUAGAAUCUUGAAUCUUGUAGGUUAAAGGAUCUGUUUGCCAGUUUAUAGUCUACAGGUGCCAUUUGCUGCAGCCACUGAACUCUUGGCCGAGUUGUAGAGCCACAGCUGUAGCUUAUCCCAUGAUUAAAGGGCUGUGAAGAUAUCUAGGAACUCAUUCACAUUCACAUCACUAAGUUUAGCAGCAAGUCACUGGGGGUAGAUAUAAGGGUAAUGAGAGAGUGGCCAUAUGGCAGUGACUUAGUCCAAGUCCAGCAUGUGUCUGAGCCUGAAAGGUCUCAGGAGCUACGCGUAGUUGGGCUGCCACUCAACCAACUUCAUUUAGGUGGCAUUGGGCUUUGCACCAAGUCAUGAGUCUGAAGUUGACAUGACUGGGCAUUAGUCCUGAAGGGGGGGUCUCCUAGGCUACUCAGUUGGUAUCCAGGUAGGAGUAUGCUAAGUGAUGAGGGCCCACUCAGGGCUGGAAAAUCCAACUGCUUGUCUGGGCUUCUUGUAUCCUACUUUACACCGUGAGAACGCCUCCUGUCUGAGUGGAGACAAGGAUCAGGAACUAGCAGAAUCUAGACUGUAGAACUCCCUACAGGGAAGCUGCUUGUGACAAAGCUUGACUCUCCCUAAUUAGGUCCUCAAUGGCAGAGAAGUGUGGUGGGCCCCAGAGCCUAAAGGCUGCAGGGCCAGGCAUGGCUUAAGUCUGGCCUCGGUCAUUUAUUUCUCAUGUUUUGAGUUAGUUGCUUAAGCUGUCUGAGCACUUGACUUAUUAAAAUGGGGUAAACUAAAGGUUAACUCCAAGCCAUGAGGCUCCAGUGGUAACCAUAGGGAGCUUGGCUUACUGCUGGUCUAGUAACUACUGACAGCCCUGCACUCCCUUCCCUGCCUAAGUCACCUGCUCUGAGCUCCAAGUGGGGUGGCCGAGAGGCUCCUCUUAUGCGUAGCGCCCUCCCCUUAGUGCAAGCUGCGCUCAAGUUUUGCCUAAGCAGCGUGUUUCUUGCAGGUUGGCUCUGGUGUCAGCUCUUCACUUAAGCCGUAUAGACUGGUUUGGUAACUCACUUAUCCUGGAACCAUUGGUGGGUGAUGGUCAGUGGGGAAGGGGGUGUAUGUAGCUGGAUCUUCAAGUCGAAGCCUCCUGGCAGGGAGAACGGAAGUCGCUGCUCAAGGAAUAGGGAACCUCCCGCUUCUGUGCCCUGGGGAGGGAGCUCUCCUGAGGGAAGCUCUGGCUACUGGGGCCCCCACCCUUCAGCCUAACUCCACUUGUCACAGCCCAUGGGCUCCGAUAGAGAUGGUCUAGUCUCUGAACACUUCUCUCCAGCCCCUCAGACUCCCUUCAUGGGCCUGGGGGGUAGAUUUUAGAGCAGGUUGUAGUACGUCUGAUCUUUCCCGAAGAUAUUAUGGUAUCCCGCGCUUUUGGGGUGUCUUAAGAUUGUGUGGGGAUUUGCAUGAAAGCCUCAGACUAAGUAGCGCUUGAGGGUGGGGGAGAAGAAAUGGCCUCUUCUGCCAUCCUGUUUGGAAAGUUCUUUGUUCAGGAAACUUGAGGUGAAGGCAAACUCUGCUGACCCGUGUGGACUCCUUGAGAACCCGUCACUAGUUUCACCUACCUCUCUGGGAUGCUCCGGAAUGGCCUUUGUGGCAGCUCUGCAGGGUCAAGGCAGGACUGAGAGAGGAUGGAUGUUGGCUUGUUUCAACCACUUCCCAGAGAUCAAGUUUUUACUACUUGACCAACUCUUCCAGAGCUGGCUCUUGACUAAGUCUGCACAAUCCCAUGUACAUUCUAACUUGACAGUCAUUAUCUUGUGUUUUCUAAGGAAAACCAUAAUUGGCAGAGGAGGGGAAAACCUCUGAACAAGUGGUUCCUGAUCUUACCUUAUCUCAAGAUAAGAAUCCCAGAGAAGGUUGAGAUCCUGUAGAUCUCCUCUCCAUAAUUUCACAACAAACUAGUUCACUUUCCUAUCUUAAUGCUUCAUUAAAUGUCAAAACAUACGUCUCUCGCAGUCCUGUUUGGAAAGGAGCACUUUGGAGAUUUGCAGACUUUCUGCCUAUCUUAACUCCAUGACUACUUUGUAAAUGCCUGUUUCCUAUCUAGUUAGCUAGUGGCUGGCUUCAGGGCUGCUAAAAUUUUUUGCUUAGAAAGGCUUUCCUUGCUUUAACAGAAUAAGAACAACCUCAAGAUUCCAUUCCUUCUAGAGUAAGUUAGAUUCCCUUUGUAUUAAAGUGUUCCAAUGACACUUGGUUGUCAACCUUUGCUCACUGACCUUGAUGCUUUUAUUCUAAGUUAAGCUAACUGGACUUCUGCCUCAACGUGUAAAGAACUUGGAAGUCAGCUUUCCUGCUGUAAGGAUAGGAAUGAUGAAUUAUCAACUGUUAGAUCAAUCAGAAUUGAGGUCACAGGACUAACUUCUGCCCUGAAAACUACAGACAGCUGCAGAAGAUGGGUUGCCAGGAGCAAAAGCCACAGCUGGAACCAGAAACCAAUCAGGAACACUUAAAGGGUAGUUGACAAAUUGCUGAAGGCUCAGUGUGGACUAGCUUGAGAGUUUAAAAACUCUGGUGGACCCAGUUUUAUGGGACUUGCUACACUUCAUGUGUGUUAUUUCCUGGAUAGGGCAUUGGGCAUGGAGAAAAAGGGUCCAGGGUCUUCAAGAGAAGUAGCCGGCUGAAUGAACAACCUUCUGGAGAUCUGCCUCUAGCCAGGAAGACAACCCAAACAUUGGCUUUGAGCAGGAAGGAAUAGUAGGAAAGUCUGUCCGCUUGAGGAUCCAUGGGUCCCACCUGGCCUUGCUCUAGGCCUGCAUUGCAUGUGGCUGGAGUCGGGUGGGGACUAGGAUCUGAGGGGCACUGUAGGAGCCGGUUCUCAAAGCUCUCAGAACUGAGUGCGCUUCUAGCAGUAGGGCUUUCCCUCUGGUGCUUGGUUGGACAGUGAGUCCUGGUUGUACUAGUGGCCAGCCAGUGGGUUUCCAUGCUCAAUCCUGCCUUGCUGCUUCAUGUGGAAAGCAGAGUGGAAGCUUCUGAUCUUCAUGAGUACAGUUGUCUUGUGUUGCUAGAGUAAUCUCUCAGAUGCCUCAUCAGUUGCGAGUAUUUGGAUAGACGGUAUGUAGGGCAGAAGUCUUCAGCAUAAUUAGAAAAGGGAGCUCUUCGGGACCAAGUUCUCCCUCUGGCUCACAACUUGCAAAUGCUUUAAGUCCACUGGAAGCUGGGCAUUGCCUCACCUGAUCACUUAUGGACUUGAGCCCUCCAUUGAGGGGACAUGGUCUCUUUAAAUCCAAUCCAUUCAUACCCUGCGAUAGGCAAACUCUUGUUCUCACUCAUGCAUUUUUGAGAAUGAACUCUGGCUGUGUAAUUUCAAGUGCUCUAUUGAAGUUGGUGGUUCAGACAGUUCACUGCAAAGGGACUUGGACUGGGAAGGAUUUCAGCUGAGGGCAAGACUCCUUACCUGCCCAGUUUACCCAAGUUAAAUUCCUUUUGUGUCAUUUGCUUAAUGGGCGCGGGUGCUGACAAGCUCACUACUCCAUAAUGAGCUUGUGCUUAACUCGUAAACAUCAACAUCUGUAAAGCUGCUGUCUCAAGCCUCUCCCCUUCAACAGGAUCGCUAGGCCUCCGUUUGACACCUGAUGGCCCCUUUUCCCUCUUCUAGCCGGUAAUGCCUCACACUAUCAGCUAGGUGAGGCUUGCAAAUCAGCCGGCUAACAGACUAACCAAGGAGCCAAAAGGAGGGAUCCUUCCUCUGCCUGGCUAGUGGCCCCAUCCCAAAGGAGGGCCCACCAUGGUGCCACACACUCUUCAUGACUUGGGGAUUGAAGUUGAAGACUUGAGACUAAAGCAAAGGGUCCCAAAGGCAAUGUGACUGCUUCCUUUUCUAACAAUGACACUCAAUUUUAGGGACGCUAUGCUAAAGUUAAAACAGGCCAGAUGCCAAACUCAUCCUCUUCGAACUUUCAAUAAAAUUGUGUUCCUAUAGUAUGGAGUUGUGGGAGAGGCUAUCCUGUCCAGGGGUCUGUACUUUUAAGCUCUUAAGUUGGCCUUGUAAAGGUUCUGUGGUGGCUCGUGCUUGGAAUUUGACUGGAACCAGGGGAUGGUAGAGAGUUUGACUUAGGAUUCUCAGAAUUGGACACAGUCCUCCUGGACCUUUAACUUUGCUCUUAUGGACUUCAUUGACUUCAGUAAUUGCCUUCAUCCAGAGAAGAGUCCUUUCUGAUGAGUAGAUGGUGGCGGUGUUCCUUAGUUC